GGGCCAACCCAGGGCAUUAACACACCAGGAUAGUGGCCGCAGUUGUAUUAUCUUGUGCAUUUGUCAAGAGAGGUCAUCCGAACGCUGAGAUAAAGGCUUGGGAUUCCAUUGUCUCAUCUCUUUCUGGGAGUGAUUUUCCUCUCAUCUGGAAGUGCAGAGACAGAGUCUUCAUAGGGAACUGAGAUUACCUCCAAAAAACAUUUGUGAAGUGAGCAAUUCCUAGAAGGCUGUUAAUGUUGAUUAAUGAAAUUAUACAAAAAGAAUCAUAAGAUAGCUGGAGAAGAAAAUUAUCUGUGAUGCCUGGAAAAGAUACGUCCCAGUGGGAGGGUCCUCAUCUCAGUCUUCCUGCGCAGGGAUCUAGGCAGUAUGGAUGGGACCGACCUCACAGAGGAGACUGCCUACCUCAGAUAGCAAUAGAGGAGAGUCGGUUUGGGCCCUGGAUGACAGAUCGUAACUGUCCUGAGUGGCUGGACAUCUUAGAGUGAACAGCAGACAGCACCGGCUUCAUGUGAGAGUCCUGCCUGGACAUUGAGGAUGGAUCCGAGAGAGAAGCGCAGAGCCUGACGGAUCAGACACCACCACCCCUUAGCGGCGACGAAACCGAGCGGUAAACGCGCUGGAUCGUGAGAAGCACUUGUCUAGCUAGGCCAAGGAGAGAGGCGCAGGGAGAGCGAGGUGAUCCAGACCAGACAGGGAACCCUGCGGGGCGUGGCGGGGCCGGGGGUGAAGCUUGCAGAGGUAGUUGCCCGUGAAGAGCAGCUUGUGCGCUGUUGGAUCCU
rnacentral:lncRNA from 1 species